UACGUAGGGUGCGAGCGUUAAUCGGAAUUACUGGGCGUAAAGCGUGCGCAGGUGGUUAUUUAAGACAGAUGUGAAAUCCCCGGGCUCAACCUGGGAACUGCGUUUGUGACUGGAUGGCUAGAGUGCGGCAGAGGGGGGUAGAAUUCCACGUGUAGCAGUGAAAUGCGUAGAGAUGUGGAGGAAUACCGAUGGCGAAGGCAGCCCCCUGGGUCGACACUGACGCUCAUGCACGAAAGCGUGGGGAGCAAACAGG
rnacentral:rRNA from 1 species